AAGAAGUGUUGCAGGGCUCAAAGUGGAGAUGUUAAAGCACGUCUCCGAGCGCAGGGGCGGGGGGAGCGGGGGCAGAACUUGGGGAGGGUACAGGAGCGAGCACCCAGCAGCCGCUGUGAGCCCUCAGAGAGCAGCGAGCUGGGUGAGGCACCUGCUCCAGGGGCACCUGCAGAAACCAGCAGGAAGUGGCUGCCUCCAUCACAAGUGCCAGAGCCUCUGAGAGCAUCGCGUGUUCUCUUCAUGAUCACAUUCGGGGAUGCACAGCUUCUCACUGCCCUGGGAGCCUGCACGGGGGAGCUGAACUUCCACCCCAAGCAUGGAUGAGGCCAGCGCUGGAGUCCAGGAUUCUGAUGCUGUCUUUUUCCUUUUUCUUUUUCUUUUUCUUUUUUUCUUUUUCUUUUUCUUUUUCUUUUUCUUUUUCUUUUUCUUUUUCUUUUUCUUUUUCUUUUUCUUUUUCUUUUUCUUCUUUCUUUUCCCUUGCCUCUUCCUCUUCCUCUUCCUUUUCUUUUUCCUUUUCCUUUUCCUUCUUCUUCUUCUUCUUCUUCUUCUUUUUCUUCUUUUUCUUUUCAUCUUUCUUAUUUUUUCUUUCUCUUUCUCCUUCUUUCUCCCUUGCCUCUUCCUCUUCCUCUUCCUCUUCCUCUUCCUCUCCUCUCCUUUUUCCCUUUUCCUUUCCCUUUUCCUUUUUUCUUUUUAUCUUUUUUUGUUUUUCCUUUUUCUUCUUUUUCUUUUUCCUUUUCCAUUUUCUUUCUCGUUUUCUUUUUUCUCUUUUCUUUUCUUUUCUUUUCUUUUCUUUUCUUUUCUUUUCUUUUCUUUUCUUUUCUUUUCUUUUCUUUUCUUUUCUUUUCUUUUCUCUUUUCUCUUUUCUUUUCUCUUUUCUUUUCUCUUUUCUUUUCUUUACUUUUCUCUUCUUUUCUUUUUUCUUUACUUUACUUUUCUGUUCCUUACUUUUCUGUUCUUUACUUUACUUUACUUUACUUUACUUUUUUCUUUUCUCCUUUUCUCAUUUUCCUUUCUCUUUUUCUCCUUUUCUUUCUUUCUCUUUUUCAUCUUUCUCUUCCUUUUUUUUUUUAUACAAAACCUAAGCUGUUACAGAGACCUCUUUAAAAAGACAAAUGAACAUUUGCUAAAUCCUUUCUUCCGCAAAUAAAGUCCCGCAAAAUCCUG
rnacentral:lncRNA from 1 species